rnacentral:rRNA from 1 species
GGGUGCAAGCGUUGUCCGGAAUUAUUGGGCGUAAAGAGCUCGUAGGCGGUCUGUUGCGUCGGCUGUGAAAACCCGGGGCUCAACCCCGGGCCUGCAGCCGAUACGGGCAGACUAGAGUUCGGCAGGGGAGACUGGAAUUCCUGGUGUAGCGGUGAAAUGCGCAGAUAUCAGGAGGAACACCGGUGGCGAAGGCGGGUCUCUGGGCCGAUACUGUCGCUGAGGAGCGAAAGCGUGGGGAGCGAACAGG